CAGAUACCAUGAAAGGCGUUGGUUGCUUAAAACAGCAGGACGGUGAUCAUGGAAGUCGAAAUCCGCUAAGGAGUGUGUAACAACUCACCUGCCGAAGCAACUAGCCCUUAAAAUGGAUGGCGCUUAAGUUGUAUACCUAUACAUUACCGCUAAAGUAGAUGAUUUAUAUUACUUGUGAUAUAAAUUUUGAAACUUUAGUGAGUAGGAAGGUACAAUGGUAUGCGUAGAAGUGUUUGGCGUAAGCCUGCAUGGAGCUGCCAUUGGUACAGAUCUUGGUGGUAGUAGCAAAUAAUCGAAUGAGACCUUGGAGGACUGAAGUGGAGAAGGGUUUCGUGUGAACAGUGGUUGAUCACGAGUUAGUCGGUCCUAAGUUCAAGGCGAAAGCCGAAAAUUUUCAAGUAAAACAAAAAUGCCUAACUAUAUAAACAAAGCGAAUUAUAAUACACUUGAAUAAUUUUGAACGAAAGGGAAUACGGUUCCAAUUCCGUAACCUGUUGAGUAUCCGUUUGUUAUUAAAUAUGGGCCUCGUGCUCAUCCUGGCAACAGGAACGACCAUAAAGAAGCCGUCGAGAGAUAUCGGAAGAGUUUUCUUUUCUGUUUUAUAGCCGUACUACCAUGGAAGUCUUUCGCAGAGAGAUAUGGUAGAUGGGCUAGAAGAGCAUGACAUAUACUGUUGUGUCGAUAUUUUCUCCUCGGACCUUGAAAAUUUAUGGUGGGGACACGCAAACUUCUCAACAGGCCGUACCAAUAUCCGCAGCUGGUCUCCAAGGUGAAGAGUCUCUAGUCGAUAGAAUAAUGUAGGUAAGGGAAGUCGGCAAAUUAGAUCCGUAACUUCGGGAUAAGGAUUGGCUCUGAAGAUUGAGAUAGUCGGGCUUGAUUGGGAAACAAUAACAUGGUUUAUGUGCUCGUUCUGGGUAAAUAGAGUUUCUAGCAUUUAUGUUAGUUACUUGUUCCCCGGAUAGUUUAGUUACGUAGCCAAUUGUGGAACUUUCUUGCUAAAAUUUUUAAGAAUACUAUUUGGGUUAAACCAAUUAGUUCUUAUUAAUUAUAACGAUUAUCAAUUAACAAUCAAUUCAGAACUGGCACGGACUUGGGGAAUCCGACUGUCUAAUUAAAACAAAGCAUUGUGAUGGCCCUAGCGGGUGUUGACACAAUGUGAUUUCUGCCCAGUGCUCUGAAUGUCAAAGUGAAGAAAUUCAAGUAAGCGCGGGUCAACGGCGGGAGUAACUAUGACUCUCUUAAGGUAGCCAAAUGCCUCGUCAUCUAAUUAGUGACGCGCAUGAAUGGAUUAACGAGAUUCCUACUGUCCCUAUCUACUAUCUAGCGAAACCACAGCCAAGGGAACGGGCUUGGAAUAAUUAGCGGGGAAAGAAGACCCUUUUGAGCUUGACUCUAAUCUGGCAGUGUAAGGAGACAUAAGAGGUGUAGAAUAAGUGGGAGAUAUUAGACCUCGGUUUGGUAUCGUCAAUGAAAUACCACUACUCUUAUUGUUUCCUUACUUACUUGAUUAAAUGGAACGUGUAUCAUUUCCUAGCCAUUAUACGGAUAUAUUUAUUAUAUCUUAUGGUAUUGGGUUUUGAUGCAAGCUUCUUGAUCAAAGUAUCACGAGUUUGUUAUAUAAUCGCAAACAAAUUCUUUAAUAAAACGAUGCAUUUAUGUAUUUUUGAUUUGAAAAUUUGGUAUAACUCCAAUUACUCAGGUAUGAUCCAAUUCAAGGACAUUGCCAGGUAGGGAGUUUGACUGGGGCGGUACAUCUCUCAAAUAAUAACGGAGGUGUCCCAAGGCCAGCUCAGUGCGGACAGAAACCACACAUAGAGCAAAAGGGCAAAUGCUGACUUGAUCUCGGUGUUCAGUACACACAGGGACAGCAAAAGCUCGGCCUAUCGAUCCUUUUGGUUUAAAGAGUUUUUAACAAGAGGUGUCAGAAAAGUUACCAUAGGGAUAACUGGCUUGUGGCGGCCAAGCGUUCAUAGCGACGUCGCUUUUUGAUCCUUCGAUGUCGGCUCUUCCUAUCAUUGUGAAGCAAAAUUCACCAAGCGUUGGAUUGUUCACCCAUGCAAGGGAACGUGAGCUGGGUUUAGACCGUCGUGAGACAGGUUAGUUUUACCCUACUAAUGACAAAACGUUGUUGCGACAGCAUUCCUGCGUAGUACGAGAGGAACCGCAGGUACGGACCAAUGGCACAAUACUUGUUCGAGCGAACAGUGGUAUGACGCUACGUCCGUUGGAUUAUGCCUGAACGCCUCUAAGGUCGUAUCCGUGCUGGACUGCAAUGAUAAAUAAGGGGCAAUUUGCAUUGU
rnacentral:rRNA from 1 species